CCUACGGGAGGCAGCAGUGAGGAAUAUUGGUCAAUGGACGCAAGUCUGAACCAGCCAUGCCGCGUGCAGGAUGACGGCUCUAUGAGUUGUAAACUGCUUUUGUACGAGGGUAAACCCCGAUACGUGUAUCGGGUUGAAAGUAUCGUACGAAUAAGGAUCGGCUAACUCCGUGCCAGCAGCCGCGGUAAUACGGAGGAUCCGAGCGUUAUCCGGAUUUAUUGGGUUUAAAGGGUGCGUAGGCGGUUUGAUAAGUUAGAGGUGAAAUGUCGGGGCUCAACCCCAAAACUGCAUCUAAUACUGUUAGACUAGAGAAUAGUUGAGGUAGGCGGAAUGUAUGGUGUAGCGGUGAAAUGCUUAGAGAUCAUACAGAACACCGAUUGCGAAGGCAGCUUACCAGACUAUAUCUGACGUUGAGGCACGAAAGCGUGGGUAGCAAACAGGAUUAGAUACCCGAGUAGUC
rnacentral:rRNA from 1 species